rnacentral:rRNA from 1 species
GACCCGAAAGGGUAGACCUCCCACCCUUGUGUAUUAUUACUUUGUUGCUUUGGCGAGCUGCCUUCGGGCCUUGUAUGCUCGCCAGAGAAUACCAAAACUCUUUUUAUUAAUGUCGUCUGAGUACUAUAUAAUAGUUAAAACUUUCAACAACGGAUCUCUUGGUUCUGGCAUCGAUGAAGAACGCAGCGAAAUGCGAUAAGUAAUGUGAAUUGCAGAAUUCAGUGAAUCAUCGAAUCUUUGAACGCACAUUGCGCCCCUUGGUAUUCCGGGGGGCAUGCCUGUUCGAGCGUCAUUUCAACCCUCAAGCUUAGCUUGGUAUUGAGUCUAUGUCAGUAAUGGCAGGCUCUAAAAUCAGUGGCGGCGCCGCUGGGUCCUGAACGUAGUAAUAUCUCUCGUUACAGGUUCUCGGUGUGCUUCUGCCAAAACCCAAAUUUUUCUAUGGUUGACCUCGGAUCAGGUAGGGAUACCCGCUGAACUUAAGCAUAUCAAUAA